rnacentral:lncRNA from 1 species
GCUAGCUCGAUCCUGAGAGGAGAAAAUGAAUUGGUUGGUUAUGCGUCGCGAUGGUUUUGGCUCCGCUCAUGUGGAAAUCGAACUAGCAAGACGAUGUUUGAGGUUUGUGUCUUCGCAUCCGCAUAGUUCAUGUAGGUUUCAUAGCUAUGUGGUUAAUGUUGCCUGAUGCCCUGUUGCCCGGUUUUGGUUAGGGGCUUGCCUCAUAGCCUCCUAUGUACAAAUCUAGCUGGUAUGAAUAAAGUUGUUUAUCGUACGAUUAGAGUGAGAAAUAGUAUUCCACGUACAGCUUGUUAUCGGACUUGUACUUGGCCAUAUAUUUUUACAAAUCUUUUGUAUACAACAUAUUGAAGUUUGAAGAUGUGAAUGGUUAAUGGGAAGAAAAUCAAUUGAAUUAUAAAACUGUCCAAACUGAACUAAACGAGUACAGUUUGGUAUGAUUUUUUACUAGAACGGUUUCGUUUUUGUUUACGAAAUGAAAAACUGUGGGAUAACGGUUUGGUUUGUGGUUUCGAAGUUGCAAUUUUGGUUUUAGACUAAACUGAACCGUUACUACUAUAAUUAUACAACAAAAAACCUAUAUUAGUCUAGAUAUGCAUACAUUUCUUUUAGUAUUUGGAUGAUGAAAUGGAUAGUUUUAGAAUCGUGGAACCGAACCCAACCCAAUCGCAUUUUACGGUUCGGUCUGGUUUGAUUUCACAAUUCUAAUGAGUACACGGUUAGUAGUCGUUUGGUUCACGAUUAUCACCGUGAACUCCCCGUUCAUGUUGAUGGGUUGAUGUUGGGCUGGGCAACUACCAGCGUGUUUAAUGCUAGACAACCCAAAACUCGAGCCUGAUCCAUCUUCUAUUUCCUCACAUAAUGGGCUUUCUUUGUGGAAGUUCAUUUGUUGAGAAACCAAGAGACAUUAUAGAAAACUUUUAAAUAUGGAAAACAAUUUUUAAAUUUAAGCACUUCGCAAUAAUGUUUUAAAAUGCAGUGAAGUCAAUUGUUUACACAUCAUACACUUCUCACACUGCACAGUAUAAAUGCUUGUACCGAAAUAAUUUUUGCGAUUCUCCACUAUGGAUUAUCCAAACUUAAUGCGCCUGGUUAUUGGCCGUAACUCUCGUGCUUUUUUUUUUUAGUGUGACGUUUUUUCUGUUAAAAAGCUAAUAAAUUAUAUAGUAACUAUCGUGUCGCACGAUUCUUGUACCUCCUUUUUAUUUCAGUCAUUGUUGAGUGGCCCCUUUCUCUGGUAAAAAAACAUAUUUUAUCUUUCCUGACGUUCUUUAUGAUCGAGUUAAAUUUAAAAAAAAAAAUGACAAAAAAUAAAAAUUUGGUAACUCCAAAAUUUAACUCUCUCUCCCUUGACCCAUCCAACCUUCCCUGCAGUCACAUAAUCAUUUAUCGAGGUCCGCUUCCGACUCCUACUCUCAACCUACUAGGAACUAUAUUUUGAUUAAAAAAUUGUAUUAAAGAAAUGCUCUCGCUCUAAAGUAUUUUUACAGGAAGAAGACGCUUUCACAACACUCGCUUCCGCGCGCACUUUAUGUAACUUAGCUCCUCCCUCAUAUUAAUUCUUUGUCUACCACCACAUACUCCACUCCAAACUCCAUUCUCAAUCAACACCCUACACCCUGUUUGGCAGCAGGAUAAGCUCCCUGAUUGGGUGUGUUAUUGAUUUCUUCUAAUUGAGAGUUUUCUCUGAUGUUUGGGUGAAGCUUCUCUCCCUCAUUUCUUUUCCAGUCUCCUUCGAAAAUCCAUCCAUAGCCAGAUAUGGCACGACAAGGGGCUACCCCCGUACGUGGUAACGCGGUGUGCGCGUUGCGGUGGAAUGACAGGUGCCCUCGUUUUGGCUCGAUAAUUUUUUCCCGUUUAGCACUCGAGGCCCCUUGGGUGUUAUCAGUGACGAUUUCUUCUCCACUUUACCGAGCAGAGCGAUAGACGAGGAGGAGGUGCUGAGUUGGGGAAGCGAACCAGGGAAAUGAGGGAAUGACUAAUUUUAUUUGGGUAAAUACAAUGACCUCCCCGUAGGUUAUGGGUUUAACACAAAAAAAACUUGACAUUUAAAAAUUAAAUUACCGCCCUAAAGUUUGAAAUUGUAAUAGAUUUGCUCAAUUUUAACUCAAAAAAAAAAUAUUUAUAAAUUAUAUAUUAAUUUAAUUUUAUUUUUUACUUGAUGUUGAUUUGAUUUAGUUAUUUAUUUAUCAAAGUGAAAGAUUUUUUAAACUAUAAGGACCUUUUGGGUUUGGGUGUACAUAUUUGGGUGUUGUUUGGCGUUUUUCUUCAAAUAAUUUUUAGGUUAUUUUUUAUAAUUUUUGAAUUAGCCAUUUAAACACAAAGAGGUUAAAAAUUAAAAUCUUGAUCAAAAAUGGUUGAAAAGUAAAAUGAAGCGAGUGGUGUUGGGGAGAAGGAUUGUUCGGAAAAUGAAAAACGGGGGUGCAUCUUUCAAUGUUGUGUCUACCUUUGGGUGGGUCAAGGGGUGAAACAGGGAAGUGGGGGCGAGGAACCCCACCAAAAGGAAAGGGAGAGGGGGAAAGGAGAGAGGCAGGAGGGAAGGAAAAGGGGGGGGGGAGCAGCGAAAUAUUAAUUAAUAUAUAUUUUAUCUAAUUUUAAACGAAAUUAUAUUAAUAUUAACAACAAUUAAUGAAGUGGGGGAAUUUGUCUUUUUACAUCUAUCAAUCAUAUCCAACAUCUAAAUCCCCUUCUUCAAAACAAUCCAACACACCAAACUAUAAUCAACCUUCUUUAAAAGGGGGGACCCCUUAUUAUAAAUCCUCCCUCAGUUCAAAUACUAUCUCAAAAUCCUCCCUCAUUUUAAAUCUUCUAAAAAUCAUCUCCUGCUGCCAAACGGGGCUGCCCUAGCCUCCCAAGAAACCCAACACUCCCGAACAAUUUAUCACAGCCGACUCUCUCAUCAACCAUCACCGGCCAAUCUACCACAACUAUUACAACCAUUUCUACCUCCAUUAAUUACCGCAAAACCCAUAACUGCAUCUUUACCUCUAUGUAUAUGUAUGUGUACAAUAUGUUAACAACUCCCAAAUAAACAAAUCUAAAACCUAGAUUUGAGCAUUUUCUUUGGGGUAAUGAGUAGGACAAUCAACCAAUUUAAGAUUUGUGAUGGUUAAUUUUUGUAAUAUCAAACUCAAUUUGAAGUUUUCUCAGCAUUCUUUUGGGUGUCUUGCAAAAAUAAAAACACAAUUUGAGUUGUCUUUCGUAUAAUUUGGAAAAAAAUUAAACUCAAAUUGAAAAAUAUCAAAUCUGGUUUGAUUCUUCUGUGUGAGAGAAAAAAUGCUCUAUUUUUUUCUUUUGUGUAUAUGAGAUAGAGAGAGAGAGAGAGAGAGAACACAGGAAUAUUUAAGUAAUUUAAGUCCCCGAAGCUAGUAGACCACUCUGAUAGGAGGGUGCAGUGUAAUUUAUUAAAUGUUAUGGGAGAAUAUGUAUUAAAGGAAAAUAUAAAGGGAGGGAAGUGUAAUUAAUCCAAAAAAGUUCCCUUUGAAGACUGGAAGAGUUUUUAAAUUUAGAUACAAUAAUUACUUGACAAAGGUUCGUGACGAAGUGGUAAACUGUCAACUGUCACUUCUAAGUAAAAUCCGAGCUCGUGAUCACUGUACGGACCUCCCCUAUCGGCGGCGUACGGCGGCGCAUUAUAUGACCUCAUUUGGACACGCGUAGACCUGCAACACUCAUUUAAACUUAUAUGACCUCAUUUUAACAAAGGGAAAUGGUGUAAUAAGACAAAUAUUGUAAGAAUAUAUCCAAAAUAUAUAUAAAAUAUGUAAUAAUAUUUUUGAAAAGUGUAUCAAAAAUUAAAUUUUUUAUCAUUUUGUACUCCUUACUGACCGCCCAUUGAGCGGUCAAUAGCAAGACUCGUUAACAAAUAUUGACACUCUUCUGUAAUUUUAAAAAUAAUAUAUUUUUUUUUUACUUUCAAAAUUAAUAUUAAAAUUCUAUUGGAGUUUACUUUUAUGUUAAAAGGAUUAAUUUAUCUUUUAAUUUAGAACUUUUAAUUUUUUUUCUUAAUAUACCAAAAAUCAAAUUUUUCUGUUUUAAAAAAAUAAUUGUUAAUAGUUUUUAGGAGAUUAUUUUAAAAAUUAUAAUUUUUACUAUGGAAUUAAAUUAAACCCAGAGGAGGUCAGUGAAACUUACCCAAUUUAAUAUUAAAUAUGAUAAAAAAAAAUUCCCUUUCACAUGCUAUAAAUUUGACAAGUUACAUUUACGUAACUAUGAUGAUUUCAUCGGUUCACUUGUAUGAUUUAUUUAAAUAAAUUGUCUAUGAAAAAUUAAAUUAAUUGAAUAUUAAGAUCCUAUAUUAAUUUAUAGUUAUCCAACAAGAAAGUAAUUUUUUUGAAUAGGCGGUUCAUAUUUUAAGAAAAAGCGAUUAUGGUUGAUUAAUUGAUUUGUGAAUUAUCGAUUUUCUGACAAACAUUUUGUGGAACUUACUUGCCCUAGUUUGGGGAUGAUUUUUUUUUUAUUUUUUGUAUUUUGGUCUUUUAGUGAUUGGGUUUUUUCUCGUUUUAAAAUCAUAUUUUAACUCUUUUUUUGAUUCGUUUGAUGAGAGAGUUCCGAAAUAUGUCAUUGUUUUUUAAUAUAUGUAUUGAAAAAAAAAAUCACUAAAUAACGAAAGAAACCCAUUUUAGAUUAUUUUUUGGGUUAAUAAUUUUUUUUUGGGACUUUUUAGUAAACUAUUUUCCAAUUAGAUGAACUUUUAAAAUUUCAAAACUCUCAUUAGAUUUUAUUUUUGGGAUAAAAUAUUUUUUUUUUUGUUUUUCAAUAAAUACAUGAAUUAGAUAAAAAAAACUAUCUUUUCGAACUCUCAUCGUCGUGUGGCCGAAAAAAUUAAAAGUUUAAUCACUAUCAAAAAAAAAUUGACAAAAAUUUCAUAAUGAAAUUUUGGAUUGCAUUGUGUAGUGGAAGCAAUUUGAAUAUAAUUUUAGACAUAUUUUGAUCAUUCAAAUUGUUCAUAUUAUAUAUCUUAUAGAAAAAUUUGAUAAUGUAAAAAUCAUGUUAAUCAAAUACAAAUAAAUAGUCAAUCAAUAUCAAUUUAUAUCAAGAUAAAUAGCCUAUAAGAAUAUUAACGCACAUAUAUAUUAAGUCAUAAACAGUAUUGAACAGACAUCAAUUUGUAUUCGAUCAAUAUAAAUUUUUAUAAUAUUAUUUUUUUAUGAUGGAAUCUACGACAUGAGCGAUUUUUAUUAUCAAAUUGAAUCUAAAAUAAAUCUAAAAUAUUUGAGUGUAAUUAAAAUUUUGGAUUUAAAGAAAGAUGCCUCUUUUUUCUCUCUCUCUCUGAAUUUCCUUCAAUUAUUGCUAUCUUUAUCGUUUCAUAGCCCUAUGGCCUUUGCUUUUUCGAUUCCUCGAUAAUCGUUUUCCUAGUGAUUAGCGAGCUAUGUACCAUCAUUUUCCUAAAUGGAGCCCUUUGUUCACCUGUACCUCUAGUUUCCUAAAUUUUUUUAAAGUUUCAUGCCAAAAAAUAGCUAUACCACUUCAAGUGACUCCGGCUUUGUUCGGUAAUGCUUAAAAGUCAAUUUUUUUUUAAACUUGUUAUAAAAAAUCAAGAUUUUUUUUGCUUUUUUACUUUUUUGUCUUUACUUCAGCUAAAAAUAAAAUUUUAAAAAAAUAAAAAACAAAAAAGACAACUAUGACUGCCUUUUUUUGCUUAUAAGAUUAAAAAAAAUCAGUCGAAAAUCUGGUAUCAAAUGGAGCCUCAUUGUUAGAGAAGUUCUUAUAUCUUACAUGUGGACAGGGGCGGAACCAAAAUGAAUAUUCAGUAAAGUUAAAAUUGUCAGAAUUUAUGUUCUGCGAGGUUAAAAGAGUCAGAAUUUAUGUUCAGUAUGGUCAAAAUUAUAGAAUUUAUAAAAUUUAAGAUAAAUUACUAAUUUUUAUGGGGUCAAAUUUAUAUUUAUGACAAUUAUAUUUAAAAAAUAAUGUAAUUUUUUUUCCAAUCCCAUAUAUGGCUGUGUCACUGCAUGAGGAUUUACCAUGGUGGUUAGGCCAAGUUUGACCUAACUAAGCUUAUAGUUUGUUAGCUAAUUUAACUGUUUUUAUUUGGAUAUAUUUUUCAUUUUUAAUAAAAUUUAUUUAUUAAUUAUUUGAUCAAAUUUUUAUAUUUUUUAGUUCCUUUUACCCUGAGAAAUAUAAGAUGUAAAAAAUUUGCUAUAGUUUGAAAAAAAACCCGGUCACUUACGACACGAGAAAUUAUCUUAUUUGAAGAGUAAAAAUAUUAUUUUACCGUCUUGAUUAAACUUUUUUAACAAAUUCAAUAAAAAAUUUAAAAAAUUGAAAGUUCUCUAAUCAAGAAAAUCAAAAAAAUAUAGAAUUUUAAUCAUACGAUUGUAAAAAAAAAAAAAAACUAAAACUAAAAAUACUAUUAAACCAAAGCAUCUAAAUUAACUUACUUCUUCUAAACCAAUUUAACAAGCACAAAAUUGGGGGACUUGAUCUAUAAAAUUUAUUCAUUAUUUAGACAUUCAUUCUUUUAUCAUUUGUUAAUAAAAUAAAAUUAAUCUAAUAAUCGUUAUCACAUGAUUUUAUAAAAUCAUAUUUAAAAAAAGAAAAAUGUUAUACAAACUAACAAAUUUCACAAAUUUUUCGUAUUCACUGAUGUGUUAGGCAGUAAUAAAACUUCGGAACUUGAAAUGAGACUCACUAAAGUAAUGUGAUAGGGACAAUUCAUGUAAUUGAUAAAAAAAUAUAAGAUUUGUUAUUUCGUAUAAUAUUAUUUUUUUUAAUAUAUAUAUAUAUAUUCGCACUUGAAUGUGCAAUGUGACGUGAUGAACAGGGACAGUUGUCUUACCCUAUUUGUGUGGUUAAAAUUUUUGGCACUAAUAAAUUCAGGAUCUUUGGAAAAUGAAGCUAUAUCUAUAGAUAGAAUCUCUAUAGAGGUAGGUGCUUUGUUGUUUGGUUAUUAAUUUGUGAGAGUGAGAGAUGUUACAGUUUUCCAGGUGAUGUCUUUCUUCAUACACCCGUCUAUCAUGGGUCCUCUGUUUAUGGUCACUAGACCCUUGUUUUACGAGCUUGGAGGGUGAAUUCUCUCUACUCGUUGGUUAGAAUGGGAAAAGGACACCGUACGAUGAUUAGAUUUUUAAAUUUUUAAAAUUUUGUCAAAAUUCUUCAUUCACACUAACUUUAAUAGUAGUCAGCAUCAGACAUUUAGACACAAAAAAAUAUAGGAUGUGUCUGCGGACUAGGGAUGGCAACGGGGGCGGGUUUGGGGCGGGACGAACUAGUCCCGAAUCCGCCCCGAUUAAAAAAAUCAUCUCCCACCCCCGUCCUAAACCCGUGAAGAGGUGGGACUCAAAAUCUCAUUCUCGUCUUGCCCCUCCCUGAUUAAUAUAUUUUUUUAAUUAUAUAUAUUUUUUAUAAACUGUAUAUAUAUAUAUAUAUAUUAAGGAUAUUACGGUGUAUUAAAAAAAAUAAGGAUAGUUUUAACUAUUUACACAUAAUCGGUGGGGAUGAGCUAAAUCCGAACCCCUCCUGAGUUACAUUUUUCUCCCAUAACCUAUCCCGAACCCGUUUAUCUAGACUCCAAAUCCACCCUAUUAUAUACGGGAUGGAGGUCCGAUUUUUCAAGUCAAAUUGUCAUCCCUGUUGCGUACCAAGGCUAACUGUACUCCGUUUGAGAAACACAAGUUCUACACGCACACAAAAACAAUCGCUUUUAGUAUAUUUAUCCAAGAACAGACCGUGGGUGACCCAUGAGGAUUAGGAUUUUGGUUUGCAAAAUCGAUUUACCCCUGUCAUUUUCUCAUAUGCGAUUAUCAUAAAAGUAAAUUGGAUUGUACCUGUUUUUUAAGUUUUACACUCUAUUGGUGUCGCCCACCAUAAUUUAUAAAUGCUACUAUAUUAUUUUGUUCCUUUUGAAAUAAUUGAAUUAUUACAGAUUAUUUUUAUACACGUCCAUCCCUAGUUACAACAAUGGCACGGUCCUCGAACUUGGACAAAAAAGAUUUUUUGAACUCAAAAUGAAUAAUUUAGAUUCAAUUUAAUAUAUAAUCAAGUUAAACUGUACAUUUAUUUUUGAAUUUGGAUAAUAUAUCUUGAUCCAAAUUCAGAGAGAAUAAAGUUUCUCGUCAAGUUUACUAUUGAUAUACGGGGAGGGGGAAGUGCUUGUAGAUAAUUAAGCCAUUCAAAUCAAAGUGCAAUGGCAAGGAAAAAAGGAAAUGAUUUCCCACUCUUUUUUUUUUUCCAAAUUAAAGAUAAAACGUGGAGUGUAUUGAUACACGGUCUUUCUAAAAAUCCAACCGAUAACCAAGCGAUGGUUAAUGCAUACUUCUAAUGGUUUUAGACAUGUUAACAUGUUUUAAUUAUUUUAUUAUUUUUUAUAUAUUUUUCACACUGAUCAAUAAAUUUUUUAUCUAUUGAACCAUUGCCCAUUAAAUGAUAGUCAACAUUUUUCUUUGAUAAAAAGUAUAGUGCAACUAUCAUGAUAAAAAAAAUCAGGAAAAAUAUAAACUGAAUUCACAUCCAAAUUGUUCUCACGCCAAGAUUAAUUUAAACCACCCCACAAUACUCAUAAUUUUGAGAUAAAAAUUGUUUAGCUACAUUUUUCAUAAAGAGAAACUGAUAACGAGAAACCUAUUAUGGUUUAUGAUAUAGACAAGAAAAGGUUUACUAAUUUAAAAUGGGUGAUUCAGAUUUAUAAUAGAUUAUAGAAUCUCGCAUGCUUAAGUGAAUUUGAACUAUUUAUUUUAAAUUUAAAUUUUUUUCUUAAUCUAAAUUUAAAAAUGGGAACACUAAAAUAAUAAAAGAUAAAUUAAAUAGUGGAUGGUGGAUGGAGGAUGGAAUGGUGACAGAAUGAUCUCAUUUUCAUCAUUAAAGCUGAUAUACUAUGUGUGCCUUUUGACACCCUAUGCCCCCUAAAAAUUGUCCUAAUUUGUCAAACCACAAACAUCGCGGGUAGUGCUAUGGGUACCCCAUUUUGGGUACCCCAAAUGCACACCAUAGACACAAGAGAAGUGGGUUCCACACAUUUGGGGUGGGCUCCAUACAUUUGGAAUGUGUGGGGCCCACUUCUUUUGUGUCUAUCUCUCUCUUAAGUGUGCAUUUGGGGUACUCAAAAUAGGGUACCCAUAGCAUUUUCCCAAACAUCACCCCUUCAUUGGCUUGGUGCCAUGAUUUGGACUCUCAAAUGAACUAAUUAGUCCCUUUCUUAUGCGUCCUACCCACUAAAAUAAUCUGAACUACCCCACAAAUAAAAUGAUAAAAUUGACUUUAAUUUUAAAAAAGUGAUUAACUAAAAUAAAGGUCAAGAAUUUCAAAACUAAAUUCCUUGUUUAAAAGAUCUUACAAAUAAGUUUUUAAAAAUUGACUUUGUAUAGAAAACUGAAUCUAAACAACCAUAUUACGUAAUCUUUCUGGUGAGAUACAAAGCUCUCGUCAAUUGGAUCUAACUCGGAAUUGUAAAUUUCUUAGUUUUGCAUUGUUUUUAUCCUAAUAAACUUGAUAUUUGGUUCGCUAGACAAAUUAAUUCAAAGAACCAAUUUCAUCGUUCACAAGCAUUUAAAAUUAGAGUAAAGUCCCAUCAAAACUGGCCAACAUAAGAAUUGAGAACACAUGGAUAUGAAUCAAAUCCAAACUAAAAACUUCACGAAAUCUUAGUGAACGAAUUGCUUCUACUGCGCAUUAACGCCCAAUAUUUACCUUAUCAAGGUGCAAUGGUGGGUCCCAAAAGCACUAAAGUGAAGCAUGGUUUGGGAAUUGAAUUCCUUGUUAAGUGACCAAUUGCUUAAUGGUGGGUUAGUGGAGGUCAUUGUGCAUACCACUGGGCCACUAAUCAAUGUAAGAUGACGAAGAUGAUGUGAUGAGGACAACAACUAUUUCAUGAGAGUCCAUAGGAGAAUGUAAUCUUAGGAUAUACAUUCAACAACCACUGAGGCUCCGUUAGAAUCAUUUUUUUUAUUUUUUAGAUUGAUUUUUUUUUAAUACUAACCUAAAAAAUCAUUCAAACUUAAUUUUUUUAUUUUUUUUUUUAUUUUUUUUGCUCUUUUGCUCUUUUUUAACUAAAUGUAAAGCAAAAAAUACAAAAUUAAAAAAUUUUAUUUUUUUGAUAGCAAACUUAAAAAAAGCUUGACUUUUAAUAUUACCAAACAUAAAGCCUAAGUAUGCUUUCACAAAACACUUUGUUUGGAUAGCUUGUGGAGGACAAUAUUCUUUUUACAAAAACGGUUUUAAAAUAACCUCUUUCACUUCAUCACGUCAGUUUCGCCAGCUAAAUUAGUUGUUUUUGGUCUGUAAUUUUUUUUUUAUCCGUAUUUUUUUAUUGUGUUUAAUUAACAUUUUGUUAUAUCAGUUUCUCGUUAAUCAGCUGAUUGAAAAACGUAAAACAAUGUUUUUUUCUUUUUUAUUUUUUAAAAAAUCCACUAGAAUUUUAAGCCAUCAGCACUCUUGAUCCACUGGAGAAGAUUUUGAUCCCCUCUUUUUCUAUCUUCUUCAAUUUUGAUGAUCUUGAUUAAAAACCAUCACACACCUAGAGUUUGGUCAACAAACAAAAAAUGUUCAAUUAACAUUAUGAAGGCUUUAGCAAACAAACUCAACAGGGUAGAUAAUAAAAGAACAAGAUAAAAAAACCCAUAGGUUUUCAUAAGCUUAAUAUGGUGCUAAAAAAACCCAUAAAUUCGUCAUUCGCGUGUGGAGAAAUAUAUAAGAAUGUAAAAUACAAUCACUAGUAUGUGACGACCACUCACAACAGAAAAAUUUUGAUCAUCGAAACGAACUCCCAAGCUGUCUUGAAAGUAACUAAUUUGUGUAAAUCUAAAGUUUAAUAAUUAAUAGUACUUAACAAAAUGAAAGAAACAAAAAGUACUAGCUCAUGCAUAAUCGACUUUUAAACUCGUUAACUUUAAGUUGUACCAAACAUUAUCUCAAUAUAAAAAGAAAGAAAAUUAAAAAAAAAUCAAGGCUUUGACCUUCGUAAGAAAUUAGAAGACUUCGUAGUUUCAAUCUUAAUGAUUAUAUCUCGGAUUUGAAUCCCGAACAAAUUAAAAGCCUCUAUUGACAUUCAUUUAUUUAAGAUUAACGAACUAACUGUUCUUGUCCAAUAAAAACUACCCAAAUUGCACUAUUGCAAGGAAUUAAAUUAAUUGCUAUCAUGUGUCCCAAUAUAGUUGGAUCCAAGACUAAUCAAUGAAAUAUACACUUGUAUGCAUAUGACUUGAUCCUUCAAUUUAUCAAACAGACCUUCUUCCGCCCUUAUACCCUUGAUUUUUGUUAAAAAUACAAGAAUGACCCCAACUGGGUUUGACAGGGGGGUGCGCUCCUCACAAGUCAGAGCUUUGAAAGCAGCCCUUAAAUAACAGCUGGAGACUGGAGGCAAUAAAAAUUCACUUAGCAAUUCCAAGGGGAUUUAUUUUUUAUUUUUUUUCAGUAAACAAUAUAAUUCAUUAGCAAUAAUUAAAUUUAUUUAUAUUGUAACCGUUAAUUUCCUCAUCAAUUUUUUUGUUUUUACUUUUUUGGGUCAUCUUUAUCAGAAAAAUAAUAAAGUAAAAAAAAAAUCUUUCCAAAAAGAAUACUAAAUGCAAAUAAAUCCAAAUUUUGAUUAUUUUAGAAUUUAUUUUAAAGUAACUUGGAUUUUAAUGGUUUCUUUGUAAAAAAAAAUAUUGCUUACCAUUUCAUUUCCUCUAAUUGGGAGAAUAAAAAUGUAAAAAUUAUGUCUAAAAAAUAAAAAAAAUCAAAGAUAAAUUUCACUGAAAUCUCUUGAAGUUUUGACAAUUACAACCAUAAUUUUAGAAAUAACACUGACCUCCUUGACUUUUGAAACUAAUGUCAAGAUUCCUCAUCGAGUUUAUUUUUGUGUAAAAAUAACAAUUUUAACAUUUGAUUUAGGGCUUUUAAUUUUUUUAUUAAUACACCCAUUAAAAUAAAAUAAUAUUUAAAAUACUAUUUAUUUGUAAACUAUUUUAUUUUUAAUUUUUAUCAAAAUGUAUUUUUUUAAAAGAAUUAUAGAUCUAAAUAGUUUAUUUUUUAAGUACUCCUACUGAAAAAUGUCCUUAAAAAAUAAUACUUUAUUACUCAACAUUUAAAAAAAAAAUCUAAAAUUUUUACCUAUUAAGUGCUUCUAUUUAAGCAUACUUAAACAAUAAUUAUAUUUCUAUUAGUUUUAAAAAAAAAUGAGAGAACCUUCAUAUCUUAAUAGAUAUAUUGAGAAAAACAAAUUAAAAAACCCUAAAGCAAAGACAAAUUUAUUAUUUUCAAACAAAAAUGAACUCCAAAAGAAAAUUUUGACAUUAGUUUUAAAUAUAAGAGAGGUAAAAUCACAUAAAGGUUAUUGUAUUCGUCAAAAACCGUGAAAUUUAUCUAAUUUUAUAACCUUUCUAUGAAAUGUAAUAUUAAUUAAUUUGAAUAUUUUAAUAACUAAUACUACUAUUAAAUUAAAAAUUUUAAAUUUCUCGAGAUAGUGGUUGUCCUCAUCCGCCUUCCUUGAGUCCAUUCCGACUAUGUGUGUGUGUGUGUUUGUUAGUGGGUGAAUGAAAUGAUGCACUGAAGUUUUUGUAUGAACUUUUUAUAAUGGAGAUACUUCCCUG